GGAGGUUAUCGGGUGACGCACCCUGGAAUCAGCUCCCUUCUCUCUAGUUCUGGGUGCAUCACCUGAGAACUGCA
rfam:Myotis davidii contig186478, whole genome shotgun sequence.